UACAGAGGUCUCAAGCGUUGUUCGGAUUCAUUGGGCGUAAAGGGUGCGUAGGCGGCGGCGUAAGUCGAGUGUGAAAUCUCGGGGCUCAACCCCGAAAUUGCACUCGAUACUGCGUCGCUAGAGGACUGUAGAGGAGAUCGGAAUUCACGGUGUAGCAGUGAAAUGCGUAGAUAUCGUGAGGAAGACCAGUUGCGAAAGCGGAUCUCUAGGCAGUUCCUGACGCUGAGGCACGAAGGCUAGGGGAGCAAACGGG
rnacentral:rRNA from 1 species